rnacentral:rRNA from 1 species
AUUACCGCGGCUGCUGGCACGUAGUUAGCCGGGGCUUUCUUCUCAGGUACCGUCACCUUGAGAGCAGUUACUCUCCCAAGCGUUCUUCCCUGGCAACAGAGCUUUACGAUCCGAAAACCUUCAUCACUCACGCGGCAUUGCUCCGUCAGGCUUUCGCCCAUUGCGGAAGAUUCCCUACUGCUGCCUCCCGUAGG